UACGUAGGGUGCAAGCGUUGUCCGGAAUUAUUGGGCGUAAAGAGCUCGUAGGCGCCUGUCGCGUCGGCUGUGAAAACCCGGGGCUCAACCCCGGGCCUGCAGUCGAUACGGGCAGGCUAGAGUGCGGUAGGGGAGAGUUGGAAUUCCUGGUGUAGCGGUGGAAUGCGCAGAUAUCAGGAGGAACACCGAUGGCGAAGGCAGAUCUCUGGGCCGUAACUGACGCUGAGGAGCGAAAGCGUGGGGAGCGAACAGGA
rnacentral:rRNA from 1 species